rnacentral:rRNA from 1 species
AUACGAAAGGUGCAAGCGUUGUUCGGAUUUACUGGGCGUAAAGAGAGUGUAGGUUGUUUAUUAAGUCGGAUGUGAAAUCCCGGGGCUCAACCUCGGAACUGCAUUCGAUACUGAUAGGCUAGAGUUUGGGAGGGGUAAGCGGAAUUCCGUGUGUAGCAGUGAGAUGCGUAGAUAUACGGAGGAACACCUGAGGCGAAGGCGGCUUACUGGACCAAUACUGACACUGAGACUCGAAAGCGUGGGUAGCAAACAGGAUUAGAAACCCCGGUAGUCC